rnacentral:rRNA from 1 species
UACGAAGGGGGCUAGCGUUGCUCGGAAUUACUGGGCGUAAAGGGAGCGUAGGCGGACAUUUUAAGUCAGGGGUGAAAUCCCAGAGCUCAACUCUGGAACUGCCUUUGAUACUGGGUGUCUUGAGUGUGAUAGAGGUAUGUGGAACUCCGAGUGUAGAGGUGAAAUUCGUAGAUAUUCGGAAGAACACCAGUGGCGAAGGCGACAUACUGGAUCAUUACUGACGCUGAGGCUCGAAAGCGUGGGGAGCAAACAGG